rnacentral:tRNA from 1 species
ACAUCGGUAGCACAGUGGUUAGUGCAGUCUGCCGGAAACAGAGAGACGCGGGUUCAAUUCCCGUCCGAUGUC